rnacentral:rRNA from 1 species
AUUGAACGCUGGCGGCAGGCUUAACACAUGCAAGUCGAGCGAGUGGCGGACGGGUGAGUAAUGUCUGGGAAACUGCCUGAUGGAGGGGGAUAACUACUCGAAACGGUAGCUAAUACCGCAUACCAUCAGAUCUGCCCAUAUGGGAUUAGCUAGUAGGUGGGGUAAUGGCUCACCGAGGCGACGAUCCCUAGCUGGUCUGAGAGGAGGACCAGCCACACUGGAACUGAGACACGGUCCAGACUCCUACGGGAGGCAGCAGUGGGGAAUAUUGCACAAUGGGCGCAAGCCUGAUGCAGCCAUGCCGCGUGUGUGAAGAAGGCCUUCGGGUUGUAAAGCACUUUCAGCGGGGAGGCGGUACUCGCAGAAGAAGCACCGGCUAACUCCGUGCCAGCAGCCGCGGUAAUUC